rnacentral:rRNA from 1 species
CCCUACGGGGCGCAGCAGUGGGGAAUAUUGGGCAAUGGGCGCAAGCCUGACCCAGCAACGCCGCGUGAAGGAAGAAGGCUUUCGGGUUGUAAACUUCUUUUGUCAGGGACGAAACAAGUGACGGUACCUGACGAAUAAGCCACGGCUAACUACGUGCCAGCAGCCGCGGUAAUACGUAGGUGGCAAGCGUUAUCCGGAUUUAUUGGGUGUAAAGGGCGUGUAGGCGGGAAUGCAAGUCAGAUGUGAAAACUAUGGGCUCAACCCAUAGCCUGCAUUUGAGACUGUAUUUCUUG